AAGGAAUAUUGGUCAAUGGACGCAAGUCUGAACCAGCCAUGCCGCGUGAAGGAUGAAGGUCCUCUGGAUUGUAAACUUCUUUUAUCUGGGACGAAAACGGGAUUUUUAUCUCAAUUGACGGUACCAGAGGAAUAAGCACCGGCUAACUCCGUGCCUGCAGCCGCGGUAAUACGGAGGGUGCGAGCGUUAUCCGGAUUUACUGGGUUUCAAGGGUGCGUAGGUGGGCUUAUAAGUCAGUGGUGAAAUCUCCGAGCUUAACUUGGAAACUGCCGUUGAUACUAUAGGUCUUGAAUUAUCUGGAGGUAAGCGGAAUAUGUCAUGUAGCGGUGAAAUGCUUAGAUAUGAAAUAGAACACCAAUUGCGAAGGAAGCUUACUACAUAUAAAUUGACGCUGAGGCACGAAAGCGUGGGGAUCAAACA
rnacentral:rRNA from 1 species